AUUGAACGCUGGCGGCAGGCCUAACACAUGCAAGACGGACGGUAGCACAGAGAGCUUGCUCUUGGGUGACGAGUGGCGGACGGGUGAGUAAUGUCUGGGGAUCUGCCCGAUAGAGGGGGAUAACCACUGGAAACGGUGGCUAAUACCGCAUAACGUCGCAAGACCAAAGAGGGGGACCUUCGGGCCUCUCACUAUCGGAUGAACCCAGAUGGGAUUAGCUAGUAGGCGGGGUAAUGGCCCACCUAGGCGACGAUCCCUAGCUGGUCUGAGAGGAUGACCAGCCACACUGGAACUGAGACACGGUCCAGACUCCUACGGGAGGCAGCAGUGGGGAAUAGUGCACAAUGGGCGCAAGCCUGAUGCAGCCAUGCCGCGUGUAUGAAGAAGGCCUUCGGGUUGUAAAGUACUUUCAGCGGGGAGGAAGGCGGUGAGGUUAAUAACCUCACCGAUUGACGUUACCCGCAGAAGAAGCACCGGCUAACUCCGUGCCAGCCGCCGCAGUAA
rnacentral:rRNA from 1 species